rnacentral:rRNA from 1 species
AUUGAACGCUGGCGGCAGGCCUAACACAUGCAAGUCGAACGAGUGGCGGACGGGUGAGUAAUGUCUGGGAAACUGCCUGAUGGUGGGGGAUAACUACUGGAAACGGUAGAUAAUACCGCAUACCAUCAGGUGUUCCCAGAUGGGAGUAGCUAGUUGGUGGGGUAGCGGCUCACCAAGGAGACGAUCCCUAGCUGGUCUGAGAGGAUGACCAGCCACACUGGAACUGAGACACGGGCCAGACUCCUACGGGAGGCAGCAGUGGGGAAUAUUGCACAAUGGGCGCAAGCCGGAUGCAGCCAUGCCGCGUGUAUGAAGAAGGCCUUCGGGUUGUAAAGGACUUUCAGCGGGGAGGCGUUACCCGCAGAAGAAGCACCGGCUAACUCCGUGCCAGCAGCCGCGGUAAUUC